rnacentral:rRNA from 1 species
UACAGAGGGGGCAAGCGUUGUUCGGAAUUACUGGGCGUAAAGGGCGCGUAGGCGGCCUUCUAAGUCGAACGUGAAAUCCCCGGGCUCAACCCGGGAACUGCGUCCGAUACUGGAAGGCUUGAAUCCGGGAGAGGGAUGCGGAAUUCCAGGUGUAGCGGUGAAAUGCGUAGAUAUCUGGAGGAAUACCGGUGGCGAAGGCGGCAUCCUGGACCGGCAUUGACGCUGAGGAGCGAAAGCCAGGGGAGCAAACGGGAUUAGA